AUUGAACGCUGGCGGCAGGCUUAACACAUGCAAGUCGAGCGGGGGAAGGUAGCUUGCUACCGGACCUAGCGGCGGACGGGUGAGUAAUGCUUAGGAAUCUGCCUAUUAGUGGGGGACAACAUCUCGAAAGGGAUGCUAAUACCGCAUACGUCCUACGGGAGAAAGCAGGGGAUCUUCGGACCUUGCGCUAAUAGAUGAGCCUAAGUCGGAUUAGCUAGUUGGUGGGGUAAAGGCCCACCAAGGCGACGAUCUGUAGCGGGUCUGAGAGGAUGAUCCGCCACACUGGGACUGAGACACGGCCCAGACUUCUACGGGAGGCAGCAGUGGGGAAUAUUGGACAAUGGGGGGAACCCUGAUCCAGCCAUGCCGCGUGUGUGAAGAAGGCCUUAUGAUUGUAAAGCACUUUAAGCGAGGAGGAGGCUACUUUAGUUAAUACCUAGAGAUAGUGGACGUUACUCGCAGAAUAAGCACCGGCUAACUCUGUGCCAGCCGCCGCCGUAA
rnacentral:rRNA from 1 species